rnacentral:rRNA from 1 species
AUUGAACGCUGGCGGCAUGCCUUACACAUGCAAGUCGAACGGCAGCACGGGAGUAAUCCUGGUGGCGAGUGGCGAACGGGUGAGUAAUAUAUCGGAACGUGCCCAGUCGUGGGGGAUAACGCAGCGAAAGCUGUGCUAAUACCGCAUACGAUCCAAGGAUGAAAGCGGGGGAUCGCAAGACCUCGCGCGAUUGGAGCGGCCGAUAUCAGAUUAGCUAGUUGGUGGGGUAAAGGCUCACCAAGGCGACGAUCUGUAGCUGGUCUGAGAGGACGACCAGCCACACUGGAACUGAGACACGGUCCAGACUCCUACGGGAGGCAGCAGUGGGGAAGUUUGGACAAUGGGCGCAAGCCUGAUCCAGCAAUGCCGCGUGCAGGAUGAAGGCCUUCGGGUUGUAAACUGCUUUUGUACGGAACGAAACGGUCUGCCCUAAUACGGUGGGCUAAUGACGGUACCGUAAGAAUAAGCACCGGCUAACUACGUG